GAAAGUGUCGGGGGUCCUGGUGGCCCUCCCGGUCUUCAGAAUAUGUGAGACCGAGCAACUCGGUCUCGCAGGCUCGAGUCCUGUCCGCUUCCGCCA
rnacentral:tRNA from 2 species